rnacentral:rRNA from 1 species
CCUACGGGAGGCAGCAGUGGGGAAUAUUGGGCAAUGGGCGCAAGCCUGACCCAGCAACGCCGCGUGAAGGAAGAAGGCUUUCGGGUUGUAAACUUCUUUUAUCAGGGACGAAGCAAGUGACGGUACCUGAUGAAUAAGCCACGGCUAACUACGUGCCAGCAGCCGCGGUAAGACGUAGGUGGCAAGCGUUAUCCGGAUUUACUGGGUGUAAAGGGCGUGUAGGCGGGAGUGCAAGUCAGAUGUGAAAACUAUGGGCUCAACCCAUAGCCUGCAUUUGAAACUGUACUUCUUGAGUGCGGGAGAGGCAAGCGGAAUGCCGUGUGUAGCGGUGAAAUGCGUAGAUAUACGGAGGAACACCAGUGGCGAAGGCGGAUUGCUGGACAGUAACUGACGCUGAGGCGCGAAAGCGUGGGGAGCAAACAGGAUUAGAUACCCCUGUAGUC